rnacentral:rRNA from 1 species
GACGAACCGUGCAAACGUUAUUCGGAUUCACUGGGCUUAAAGGGCGCGUAGGCGGGCCAUCCAGUCAGGGGUGAAAUCUUUCGGCUCAACCGGAAAAGUGCCUUUGAUACUGAUGGCCUCGAGGGAGGUAGGGGCAUGCGGAACUUCCGGUGGAGCGGUGAAAUGCGUAGAUAUCGGAAGGAACGCCGGUGGCGAAAGCGGCGUGCUGGACCUCUUCUGACGCUGAGGCGCGAAAGCUAGGGGAGCAAACGGGG